CCGAUACCAACGUACAGGACACACGUCCUCGUACAGACACUGUGCGCUACCCGUAGCCGCAUCGACGACGCAACGUCGUCGGUCGGCGUCGCUUGUUACCGUGAGUGAAAUUGAAUACCCGUUGACGCUUCGGGGUACCUGUCGCACGUCGGCCGUCCUUGCGUGCGGUGAGCAGGCCGCGGGCUUCGGUCCGCGGUCGGCGAAGGUCCAACGAACCGUCCGCGCGCGUUCGCGCGCGCGUUCGGUCGCCCCGUCGCAUUCUCUGUCAGUCAGUCAGUUAACACGUACGGUCGCAUCUGUUACCAUGUCAGGACAACGAGAGUUACACAGAC
rnacentral:misc_RNA from 1 species